rnacentral:rRNA from 1 species
UUUUAUGCGAGAGUUUGAUCCUGGCUCAGGAUGAACGCUGGCGGCGUGCUUAACACAUGCAAGUCGAGCGAAGCACUUUGGUCAGAUUCUUCGG